UUGAAGUUCUAAAUUUAGAACUUUUAAGUGUAGACAACGGCGAAUUAUUAACGAGAAAGGUCUUCUUCAGAGAUAUCCAUCUACUUACUUUGGAGUGACUAAUUUAAGAAAAGUUUGCAGUAAUGCCACAUUUUCGUUAGCGUCUCAAAAUACGACUACACGUGCCUCCAUCUUGAGUCGGCCCCUCCUUCUGCCGCCGCCUGCGGGUUUUUGUCUCUGAUCAGUGGACUGAGAGAAAGCGGUUUGCCUCGCGCCCCACGCAGCUCCUCCAGCUCUCGCUGUGCAGCCGUCUCUGUGAGCGUCUCCCUCUUAUUGGCAGCAGCUGCAGCAGAGAACUGUGAGGCCGAGACAGCCACACCCUCUGCCCCCCCGGCCUGUUACUGCGUCACACAGAAACCAGUCAAAGCUGUGGUGUUAUUGAAGCAGGUGGAGCAGGUGCAGAGAAUUCCAAUUCCAGCGGUGUCAGUGACCGCAGG